CGGCAUUUACCACCGGGUAAAUGCAGUUUGUGCCUGUAUAUAUUCCGUAGGUCUUAGAAGGAAUAUAUCCAGGCACUUUUUUGCU
rnacentral:ncRNA from 1 species